rfam:Anopheles atroparvus strain EBRO unplaced genomic scaffold supercont1.86, whole genome shotgun sequence.
GUCUCCUAUGCAGACCGGUCGGUGUUUGGGGCAAAAUCGUCGGAUCGCUAUGUGCGAUUGCCGGUGUUCUAACCAUUGCACUGCCCGUUCCAGUUAUCGUGAGCAAC